AAGUAUAUGCAUAUUUUAUAUGUAGAAACUGCGAACGGCUCAUUAAAACAGUUAUAAUCUACUUGACAUUUUUUCUAUAAGGAUAACUACGGAAAAGCUGUAGCUAAUACUUGCUUUAGCACUCUUGAUUAAGUUCUUGAGUGUGUACUUGUUAAGCCUUUUAAGAAAAAAGUUAUUAACUUAAGGAAUUAUAACAAAGAAGCAACACGUAAAUGGAUUUUCCAUUUUUUAGUGUGUAUCAAUCGAGUUUCUGACCUAUCAGCUUUUGAUGUUAGGGUAUUGGCCUAACAUGGCUAUGACGGGUAACGGGGAAUUAGAGUUCGAUUCCGGAGAGGGAGCCUGAGAAAUAGCUACCACAUCUAAGGAAGGCAGCAGGCGCGUAAAUUACCCAAUUCUAAAGAAGAGAGGUAGUGACAAGAAAUAACAAUACAAGGCCAAUCUGGCUUUGUAAUUGGAAUGAUGGGAAUUUAAAACCUUCCCAAAACUCAAUUGGAGGGCAAGUCUGGUGCCAGCAGCCGCGGUAAUUCCAGCUCCAAUAGCGUAUAUUAAAAUUGUUGCAGUUAAAACGCUCGUAGUUGAAUUUCAAAGAAUCGAUAUUUUAAGUAGCACUUUGUAGAUUAAUCCACAUAACUGAUACUACGUAUCGACUUUGUGCGCAUUUUUCUACUUAUGUGUUCUUUUAAUUAAAAUGAUUCUUUUUAAGAUCUUUCUUUUUUGCUUCGGCAUUUUAGGAGAUCUUGUUACUUUGAGUAAAUUAGAGUGUUCAAAGCAAACAGAUUAUAGCAUCUUUAUGCGUUUGAAUACUACAGCAUGGAAUAACAAAAUUGAACAAGUCAGAAUUUUGUUCUUUUUUCUUAUUUUGGCUUAGUUACGAUUAAUAGGAGUAGCUUGGGGGCAUUUGUAUUCAGAUGUCAGAGGUGAAAUUCUUAGAUUUUCUGGAGACAAACAACUGCGAAAGCAUUUGCCUAAAAUACUUCCAUUAAUCAAGAACGAAAGUUAAGGGAGUGAAGACGAUCAGAUACCGUCGUAAUCUUAACCAUAAACUAUGCCGACUAGGCUUUGGAUGAAAGAUUUUAAAAUAAGAGUUUUUUCUCUGAGGAGUUAAAACUCUUAGAUUGCUUCCUUCAGUGCCUUAUGAGAAAUCAAAGUCUUUGGGUUCUGGGGCGAGUAUUCGCGCAAGCGAGAAAGUUAAAAGAAUUGACGGAAGGGCACCACCAGGCGUGGAGCUUGCGGCUUAAUUUGACUCAACACGGGAAAACUCACUAGUUUAAGACAAGAGUAGGAUUGACAGAUUAAUAGCUCUUUCUUGAUUUCUUGGAUGGUGAUGCAUGGCCGUUUUUAGUUCGUGAAUAUGAUUUGUCUGGUUAAUUCCGAUAACGAACGAGAUCUUAACCUGCUAAUUAGCGGCAAAUACGAUAUAUUCUUAUGUGGAAUUGAAUAUAGUUGAUUUGUUAGAUUUUGAAGAAAAUAUUGGAAUUACUAAUCGUUUUUCCUUUCCCUUUUCUACUUAAUUUACUUAUCCUACUAUUUCUUUUUUGCAUUUGAAUGUAUUUGCUUGAUUGUAAAGCUUCUUAGAGGAACGAUGUGUGUCUAACACAAG
rnacentral:rRNA from 1 species